rnacentral:rRNA from 1 species
UACGUAGGAGGCAAGCGUUGUCCGGAAUUACUGGGCGUAAAGCGCGUGUAGGUGGUGGGACAAGUCUGCUGUGAAAGCGCCUGGCUUAACCGGGCGAGGUCGGCGGAAACUGUCCGACUCGAGGACGGUAGAGGGGGGUGGAAUUCCCGGUGUAGUGGUGAAAUGCGUAGAGAUCGGGAGGAACACCUGUGGCGAAGGCGGCGACCUGGUCCAUUACUGACGCUGAGGCGCGAUAGCGUGGGGAGCAAACAGG